rnacentral:misc_RNA from 1 species
GAGUGGUGUUUGGUUUGAUACGGGUGGUUGGCUCCCUGCUUGAGCAGGCACGGUCACGCGUACAUUCCUUUUCAGUUAUGCGGCAAGGCUUGUAUCGUCUUGAUCGUAUAUGUGGGUUUCCUGUGUUGCAUACCUGAUCAAUGGCAUCGCUUUGAUAAAAAAAAAUGUACCUUUUUCGUCAGGCGUUGCACCCGCAACGUCAGAUGAACCAUGUAGCAUCCUCUUUGAUCCAUAUAGUCGAUGAGCAUUCGUUGAUUGUUUGGCCCGUUGAGGGUGGCUUGGUCUCUCGGAUAUGGAAGCCAAAGUGGGCAUGGGUUUGUAUGAUCCUUUUAUUGCCCUUGUUGAGUGUUCUCGCUUCUCUUGAAUGACCGCCUUUCACGUAUGGCACGUCCCAGCGUGUUUGGMUACGUCGUAGAGGAAUGCUACCUG